rnacentral:rRNA from 1 species
GACGAACGCUGGCGGCGUGCUUAACACAUGCAAGUCGAACGGUGAAGCUCCAGCUUGCUGGAGUGGAUCAGUGGCGAACGGGUGAGUAACACGUGAGCAACCUGCCCCUGACUCUGGAAUAAGCGCUGGAAACGGCGUCUAAUACUGGAUACGAGAAGGGUCCGCAUGGGCACUUUCUGGAAAGUUUUUCGGUUGGGGAUGGGCUCGCGGCCUAUCAGCUUGUUGGUGAGGUAAUGGCUCACCAAGGCGACGACGGGUAGCCGGCCUGAGAGGGCGACCGGCCACACUGGGACUGAGACACGGCCCAGACUCCUACGGGAGGCAGCAGUGGGGAAUAUUGCACAAUGGGCGAAAGCCUGAUGCAGCGACGCCGCGUGAGGGAUGACGGCCUUCGGGUUGUAAACCUCUUUCAGCAGUGAAGAAGCGAAAGUGACGGUACCUGCAGAAGAAGCACCGGCUAACUACGUG